UUUCAUGUCGAACCUCAAUACCUUGUGACACCUAAAGGGAAGAUGCAUGCAAAUCAUCAUGCUCUUCAAAUCCUAAAUAGCGGGGUGUUAGCAAAAGGAAAUCACAGAAAAGCUAAUGCGAAAACUAUAUACUCAUAAUUUGAUCCUUCUUGCAUAUAGUGUUCUCAUGUGAGCCACCAUAUCAAUGAGUCCAUCUGCCACUUUGUAAUAAAUAGUCUUGUUUGAUAUCUCCGCCAAAGCAUGUUCAAUAAUAUGUUUAUACUAUUUGGCUCAGCAACGAAAGAACGGAGAAAAUAAAGACAAAAUCUGCAUAUAAUAAUAAAAAAUGUGAACAUCAUUGAGAUGAGACCGAUGCACGAAAUUGUUGACAAGCAAUCUCAUACCAGAAAGCAUUGUACAUCACCUAUCAAGUGAAAAAACAGAAAUUUAGAGACCCCAUUAUGAAUUAACAGACGGGACUUACAAUCAUCAUCUUAUUGUCCAACUACAGUUAAAAAACAUCUUAUUGUAAAAUCAUGUCCAGAAAACACACAUGUAUGCUCAUUUUCUUUGACUAAGAAGUAAUACAUAUAUUCUUUCAAAAUUGGAGAUCAGAUGGACAACCUACCACACUUCUGAAUAUUCGUUGUUGUCACAAUGAGACAAUAUGAUGCUUAGGAUCCCAAUAGACCUUCAUUCAGGACAAAUAAACGCCGGCCUAAAAAAAGGACCAAUAAACUUCAAACCUAAAAAAAGCCACACAAGUAGAAAUAUUAGCGGCAAAUUACAAAACUAAAAGGCACAUCAAUGUAUGAUAAGAUAGUUUAAGAAGAUCAGAGUCAGCUCAUAGUAAAAUAGCACUGUUCAAUAUAUCGAACAUGUUAAGCUGAAAGAGAUCAUCUGAAUAUUGAUCGUAGUUGCAUCAUCUUUCAAAGCAUCAUGAUGCAAUGAUACAAUGGUAGAAAAAUCUAUUAGGGCAACUUCUUAUUCUGAAUCUCUGUAACAGAAGAAAGGAAACAUUGACAUGUCAAAACGGAAAAGGCAGUACUAAACAAAUUCAUAUACCUAU
rnacentral:lncRNA from 1 species